CAUUAAGAAACUUUAUUGAAGUAAAAGUCUCUUAAACUUUAAAUGAUUAUAAAAAUUAAUCCUUAAUGA
rnacentral:tRNA from 2 species